AGAGCUAAAAUCAUCAAAUUAACUUUGAAAGCCAAAAUUGGAAUGGGGCUGGUUAGACUGGUUUGUAUUUGAACUCGAUUUAAUUUAAUUGGAAACCAAAACUAGAUUAAAGUUCUAGGGCUUGAAUCAAAUCGAAUUAUUUUUUUCUCUCUUUGAUUUAGAUGGAAAUUAAAUUGAAAUUAAAUUAAUCUCAUUUGAUUCAAAUUGAUAUAUUUAAAAAUAAUAAUUUUUUGAACAAACUGUUAAACUAGUUCAAAUCUAAUUAAAAUCAAAUGGAAAUCAAUUAUUGAAGCUCUACAGGCUUGAAUCAAAUUGAAUUAUUUUU
rnacentral:misc_RNA from 1 species